UACCACUGAAAAACAACGGUGGCUUAGUAAUUCCAUCACAUGGCACAGUGAAGGUGCUAAGAGCUGCAGAAAGGGUCAUUCGCCAGGCUUCAACAAAGCAAGCUCCAAAGGUGUCAACAGUCACACACACAGUCCGGGAAGAGGCUGGAACGGACAGCGUUUUUCUGCUUGGGCAGCACAUAGAGGAGACACAGUUUGGUAUUGACAACCAUCAUUCCAGCUUGUUGUCAUUGGUUGUGUCUGUGUUUCUCAACAUAAGGCUCCACCACGGUGCCAAACUGACCACCCUUAAACUGCAAAAAGGUAGCACAAGGAAAAAAAUGAGCAAAACAGUCCUCUUUCAGGGGUUUUAGCUCUAAAACCUCUGUGUGAUACUUUGUACAUUUGUAAAUAUGGUUUGAGAUGAGGAUGAUGUGUUCAUGUUAACUUGAGAAUAUACAUGUACAUUACAUUUUAUUCUCUAUGUGCUUUGUUCAGCCUUAAAGGCUUCUCUUUUUCUCUGUGUAGUAAAUCAGUUCUCUGCAUGACUGUCGUAUACAUUUUCCAUUUCUCUGGUAUAGAUCUUUAAUCUACAUUUGUAUGAAUGAUAUUGAUUCGCUGUAUAUGAUUUGUAUGUUUUCCGUUUUUCUAAUCAUACAUCUUACAUCCUAUGUACAUAUAUGAUUGAUAUUGA